AAGGUGUCAUCCGAUUUACUGUUCUUGAAGUCCCAGCGCAAAAUGCCAUAAGUACCACGUUCCCUUAUACUGGAGAUCCUCCAUACAGCCAUGGAACAGGAACAGGAUACACCAUGGACACGGUCAACAGAACACAUCAAUAUUCAGAAAAGGGGAAGUGGACAACAAACACGGAAACUGGAGCGCCCCAGCUUAACCCAAUUGUUGCAACUACACACUCCUGGAUUCCUAAGAGGAACCGCUCUAUCCUCAACACAAGCCAAAGGGGAAUUCUUGAGGAUGAAAAGAUGUAUCAAAAGUGCUGCAACCUGUUCGAGAAAUUCUUCCCCAGUAGUUCAUACAGAAGGCCGGUUGGAAUCUCUAGCAUGGUGGAGGCCAUGGUGUCUAGGGCCCGGAUUGAUGCCAGGAUUGACUUCGAGUCUGGGCGGAUUAAGAAAGAAGAGUUCGCUGAGAUCAUGAAGAUCUGUUCCACCAUUGAAGAGCUCAGACGGCAAAAAUAGUGAAUUUAGCUUGUCCUUCAUGAAAAAAUGCCUUGUUUCUACU
rnacentral:sRNA from 1 species